GGCUCUAUCGUUUAUCGGUUAGGACAUUCCGUUGUCAGCGGAGAGGGAGGGGUUCGAUUCCCCUUAGAGCCG
rnacentral:tRNA from 1 species